rnacentral:rRNA from 1 species
AGAGUUUGAUCCUGGCUCAGAUUGAACGCUGGCGGCAGGCUUAACACAUGCAAGUCGAGCGGGGAAGGGUAGCUUGCUACCUGAUCUAGCGGCGGACGGGUGAGUAAUGCUUAGGAAUCUGCCUAUUAGUGGGGGACAACAUUCCGAAAGGAAUGCUAAUACCGCAUACGCCCUACGGGGGAAAGCAGGGGAUCUUCGGACCUUGCGCUAAUAGAUGAGCCUAAGUCAGAUUAGCUAGUUGGUGGGGUAAAGGCCUACCAAGGCGACGAUCUGUAGCGGGUCUGAGAGGAUGAUCCGCCACGCUGGGACUGAGACACGGCCCAGACUCCUACGGGAGGCAGCAGUGGGGAAUAUUGGACAAUGGGCGAAAACCUGAUCCAGCCAUGCCGCGUGUGUGAAGAAGGCCUUUUGGUUGUAAAGCCCUUUAAGCGAGGAGGAGGCUACCGAGAUUAAUACUCUUGGAUAGUGGACGUACUCGCAUCAAACCGGGCCAUUC